AUGUAGAGGAGAGUUGGAUCCCAGUGUGUAUGUGUGUGUGUUAUUAUACGAUUGAGUGAUAAACGUUAUGAAUAAGAAACUAGAUCAUUAUGGGAAGGAAUUGAAUAGGCUAUACUCAUAUUGGAUCAUACCCCCCCACCCCCCACCGCCGAUACACUCAUACAGACACCAUUCAAUCCUUUUCUGCUUUCCUAAAUCGGUAUUCUCAGACGCUUUCGCCUCCCACAUCAACUAUUUCCAAAGGCCGAAAAGGAGAUCAGCCGAGUUCUAAUGAAUGUUUAUUUUUUUUUUUUAUCAGGCUCAUGGUAGAGAAGAAUGGACAAACUACCACCAACAGGGUCCUAAAACUAUCCCUGGAAAGACUCAAAUAAACUCCUACGAAAGCCUUGUCGAAUAUGUGAGCCUGGGCGCCUAAAGGUUUAAGAAUAUGACCUCUGGCUCCUAAAAUCAAGGAAUAUAAAUGAGAGGUAUAUCGCCACUUUCAUAGACCGAUGCAGUGAAAAUUAUGAAAACCAGGGAAGAUAGAGAAGAGGUAUAUUGCCACUCCCAUAGACCGCUGUAGUGAAAAUUAUGAAAACCAGGGAAGAUAGAGAAGAGGUAUAUCGCCACUUCCAAAGACCGAUGCAGUGAAAAUUAUGAAAACCAGGAAGAUAGAGAAGAGGUAUAUCGUCACUCCCAUAGACCGCUGCAGUGAAAAAUAUGAAAACCAAGGAAGAUAGAGAAGAGGUAUAUCGCCACUUCCAUAGACCGCUGCAGUGAAAAAUAUGAAAACCAAGGAAGAUAGAGAAGAGGUAUAUCGUCACUCCCAUAGACCGCUGCAGUGAAAAAUAUGAAAACCAAGGAAGAUAGAGAAGAGGUAUAUCGCCACUUCCAUAGACCGAUGCAGUGAAAAAUAUGAAAACCAAGGAAGGUAGAGGAGAGGUAUAUCGCCAUUCAUAUAGACCGCUGUAGUGAGAAAAUAUAUACUUCCCUGAAUCUUCCUUGCGUCAGACCCUCGUUGCUAUGACCACGACGCAGAUGCAAACACCGAAGGACGCCCAAGACAAGCCCCGGCAGCAGAAGGGUAUACAAAGGAGUACAUGGAAGAAGUAUUAGUACAUGUAUAGGACGGAAAUAAUUAGAUGACGCGCUGGUUCACGAUCGUCCAUUUUAUAUCUUUAUUUUUUAUUCCCUUGUAAAACAAAGGCCUUAAAGGAAGUAUGGGAAGAUUUGAAGUUAUACAUAAAAGAAAUAGUUAGAUGCCGCUUUGGUUCACGAUUGUGCAUAAUCAUAUCCUGCCUCGAGAAUACUGUCCCUCGUUGCUAUGACCACGACGCAGAUGCAAACACCGAAGGACCUCCAAGACAAGCCCCGGCAGCAAAAGGGUAUAAAGGAGUACUUGGAAUUAUUAUUAUAGGAAGGAAAUAAUUAGAUGGUGUUGGUUCAACAUCGUCCAUAAUUAUAUCGUUAUUAUCAUUCCCUCGUAAAACAAAGGCCUUUACAACAUGCUUUAUCUGUCUGUUGUUUAUAGGAUUUGAGGUUAUAUAUAAAGAAAUAAUUAGAUGCCGCUUUGGUUCACGAUCGUCCAUAAGUAUACCUUGCCUCGAGAGCAGUCAUUAUUAUUAUUAUUAUUAUUAUUAUUAUUAUAAUAUUCCCGUACAACAGACCUUUCCCAACGUAAUCCACCUGUCUGUCUGAUGUAUAUAGUCUGAGUUAUAGAGGAAGAUUUGGAAUUAUAUAGAAAAGUAAUAUUCUGCCUCUAGAACACUGUCAUUAUUAUUAUUAUUAUUAUUAUUAUUAUUAUUCCACCGUGAAAUAAAAGGCCUUUCCCAACGUUCUUCACGUCUCCGUCUGAUAUAAGAGUACUCCACUCUGCUCCGGCAAAGGUUCUAAUUCCGUCCCUGCUGACUUCCCUAGGUUGCCAUUCUGUUACUCUGACUGUGAACUCAACAAAAAUACACUUGACGUAAACUGUAAACCUCUGACUUUUUACCAACAGCUCGAGAAUAAGAUUCCGUAAUGUCUCGUAUAGCACAAAGGACUUGACGGAUCGCCUGACUUGAUUCCACGAGAGCCAGCAAGAAGACGUGAGCUUGGGGAAGAACUGUCCUCUCCUUGACCUAUACUUCCCCAUGCAUGACCUAUCACGAGAGAGAGAGAGAGAGAGAGAGAGAGAGAGAGAGAGAGAGAGAGAGAGAGAGAGAGAGAGAGAGAGAGAGAGAGAGAGAGAGAGAGAGAGAGAGAGAGAGAGAGUAUAUUGGACUAGAAAGAGGAAAAUUAGUAUGGAAAAAGAAGAGAAAAACGAAAGAAUGAAAGAAGGAAGGAAAUAAUUAAAAAAAAGUGUGUGUGUGUGUGUGAGAGAGAGAGAGAGAGAGAGAGAGAGAGAGAGAGAGAG